CUUCCAGUCUGAGGAAACAGGAUCAGCUGAGGAACUGGCGAGAGUCUUCCACCGAGCCUGAAGCUCACUGGUUUGGCAAGAUUAGCUAACCACAGACUCCAAGGCUGCUCUGUGUCCACCUCCUCACUGCUAGGAUUACAGG